AGUGAACGCUGGCGGUAUGCCUAACACAUGCAAGUCGAGCGGCAGCACAGUAAGAGCUUGCUCUUACGGGUGGCGAGUGGCGGACGGGUGAGGAAUACAUCGGAAUCUACUUUUUCGUGGGGGAUAACGUAGGGAAACUUACGCUAAUACCGCAUACGACCUACGGGUGAAAGCAGGGGAUCUUCGGACCUUGCGCGAUUGAAUGAGCCGAUGUCGGAUUAGCUAGUUGGCGGGGUAAAGGCCCACCAAGGCGACGAUCCGUAGCUGGUCUGAGAGGAUGAUCAGCCACACUGGAAGUGAGACACGGUCCAGACUCCUACGGGAGGCCGCAGUGGGGAAUAUUGGACAAUGGGCGCAAGCCUGAUCCAGCCAUACCGCGUGGGUGAAGAAGGCCUUCGGGUUGUAAAGCCCUUUUGUUGGGAAAGAAACGCAGCAGGUUAAUACCCCGCUGUUCUGACGGUACCCAAAGAAUAAGCACCGGCUAACUUCGUG
rnacentral:rRNA from 1 species